GUGGAGUACUGCCCUGGGGACUGGGAUAGCCGCGGGAAACUGCGGGUAAUACCGGAUAACGUCUCCGGACCAAAGGUGUGAUUCCGCCCUGGGAUGGCUCCGCGUCCUAUUAGCUUGUUGGUGGGGUAACGGCCUACCAAGGCUGCGAUGGGUACCGGGUGUGAGAGCAUGACCCGGCUCACUGGGACUGAGACACUGCCCAGACACCUACGGGUGGCUGCAGUCGAGAAUCUUCGGCAAUGGGCGCAAGCCCGACCGAGCGACGCCGCGUGCGGGAUGAAGGCCCUCGGGUUGUAAACCGCUGUCGGAGGGGAGGAAGUCCAUGGGGGUUCUCCUUCAUGGUUGACCUAUCCUCGGAGGAAGGACGGGCUAAGUUCGUGCCAGCAGCCGCGGUAAGACGAACCGUCCAAACGUUAUUCGGAAUGACUGGGCUUAAAGGGUGCGUAGGCGGCCUUGCAAGUUGGGUGUGAAAGCCCUCGGCUCAACCGAGGAACUGCGCUCAAAACUGCUUGGCUCGAGGGAGAUAGAGGUGAGCGGAACUUGCGGUGGA
rnacentral:rRNA from 1 species